rnacentral:rRNA from 1 species
UACAGAGGGGGCAAACGUUGUUCGGAAUUACUGGGCGUAAAGGGCGCGUAGGCGGCCUUCUAAGUCGAACGUGAAAUCCCCGGGCUCAACCCGGGAACUGCGUCCGAUACUGGAAGGCUUGAAUCCGGGAGAGGGAUGCGGAAUUCCAGGUGUAGCGGUGAAAUGCGUAGAUAUCUGGAGGAACACCGGUGGCGAAGGCGGCAUCCUGGACCGGCAUUGACGCUGAGGCGCGAAAGCCAGGGGAGCAAACGGG